AUUCACUUCUGAUUCCUUUAUCCAGGAUUAUUUACUCAACUCUGUGUCUUUCAGACUCUCUCUCUCUCUCUCUCUCUCCUUCCUUCUACCAUCGUCUCUGAUAUCACAGCCAAACCUGUGCGUCUAUCAAAAAGCAACUUUCUCACCAAAUCUGUCGACUCUGAAACAUAUUUCUUCAACAUUUUGCCCUUUCUGUUGGUCACUUUUCGACUUCUACAUUUCUUUUCCUGUCUCUCUUCUCUUCUUGCUGUCUCUCUUACUUGGCAGCAGGGCAAAAGUGGGCAGGGAGAGAGGAGGGCAUGGUCCAGAAACCGCUCUCAACCCCCAGCCCUUGUUCGAGUGGGGUUCCUCGCUUGUACGUUUCUCAGCCUUUCCCUCGUCUUGCAGGCGAAAAAGAAGGAUGUGGAAAUGCUUUCUCUUUUUCAUUCUCCUUUUUAAAAACCUGCCUUGAUUUCAAACCAUCGCAACCACGGCCUCCUGUGCAGGUGAACACUUGCCUGACCUGUACAGAAAAAGUCACCACCAAGCUUGGCACGCAGACAAUGCUGAAUUCUAGGCACCAAAUGUUGGAGAGAAAGCGAGAAGUCUAUUUCCUUACAGUCAUCCCUCAAAUUUUGCCGUUCGUCGUGGAUCUUCACCAAAAUGUGACGGGUAUUUUUUUCUCCUCAUGCCUUUGUCUGCUGAAUUCUCAAUUUGUCAGAAAUGUGAGACAGAGAAAAUAGCCCCAGGCUUUUUUGUCUAAAUUAACAGUUAAUUAACAUUGUCAGUGAUGCGUUGUUGUUUGUUCCGCUGCCUGUUUUCUUUCCAAACAACCCUUUUCUUAUUUUCUACAGCGCAGCCAUGUUUCUACCAGCAGGAGCAGUGAAAGUCAAAGCUUUAGACCAGGUUUAAAGGAAAACGUUCGCUGUCGUAUUUGAUGGCAGGUUUAACAUGAAUCACUGAUGCGUGGUUAAGGGAGGUUUGCAUCAAAAGGGACAGCAGGCAACUUUGGCUGUUGGCAGCGAAACAGAAACAACGAAAGCAAGUGUUUAGCCAAUAAAAACAUGGCUGCGUUUUCUUCAGACUUCCUACUAUACAAUUAUUUUGCUAAUAAACAAAAAAUCCUGCCAAGAUAUAUUUUAUCAUAAUGUCAUCCGGAGCCAUUUUAAUAAUCAAAAAAAUGAAUCUAAAAAAUCCAAUCCAAUAAUGCCUGGUAAGGUAGCAACCCAAAAACGAAAAUGGGUGCAUAGACAGGUUAGAUUGGUCCGGUGCCUCCAUGUCGAUUUUUUCUUCUUUAAAUUGUCUUUACUGGAACAAAUUUUGAAUUUGUUGAAUGUUGGUUGUACAAUUUUAAGAUCAAUAUUUGCAGUCACCUGUGUUUACCGUCAAAUUAAUUCAACAUCUUCAUCACAGCCUCUCACUCUCAGAUGCCCCUGUGCCAUUCAUCUGCCCCAAUGAGCACGACCUGGCAUCAGACUGGCAACGUCUGCCAAAACAUUUCAAUCACUGUCAGCAUUAAUUAGACCAACCAGGAACGCAGAAUGUUAAUGAACUGCCCAACUGCUUUUCAACCACCAUGGUUCACAUGCUAAUUUAUGCAAAGUGUCCUAGCCAUUGCAUGGACUGACUGUCGUCGUCUACAAAAACAGUGUCUGGAUGCAAUGGGCUCAGCCAAAGCAGGGCUCUGUCUGGACCCAGACAGCUCCGUUCUGCCCGUGCUCCAGACUCCAGCUGGCACAGUAAACAGUCACUGACAUUAAGUGGCUUUCACACCGACUAAAAAAACCCUGAAGUACAAAGGACAAUUCUCUAAAGUCAACUUUCUAGCUAAUCCCAACCUUCUUAAGCCAAUAAGUACACAUCAAAUUUCUAAACUUCUACUCGUCAGUUGGCUGCUAUCGGGCCUUUUUUAUUUUUUUUACACUUCCUUUGAGUAUGAAGAAUAUACAUAAGGAUUGUUUGCCAAAACCUAGAAGAAGAAGAAGAAGAAGAAGAAGAAGAAGAAGAAAGGACUAGAAAUGAACAGGUCUCUCCAUAGUUGUUGGAUUGACUCCUAAAACUGCACCAUGAAUAUAACUUUUUCUUGGCCUGCAUGUCGUUUGUAAGUUUAUUGUCUUAAUAUGAAACAUUAGAUUCUGUUUAUAUAAAAGUAAAGGGAGUAAUUUGCAAGAAAAAGUCUUGAAAGUGAACAACUAAGCAGUUUUGUUCUGUAUGUCAGGAAGUUGGCACCGAUAUUUGGCCCAGCUGCCGUUUGUUACGUGCCCACUUGUGUGAAAGUGAGUAGUUUUUUGUUUUUGCCAAAAAUUGGUCCUUUUUUAGUGUUGAAGUGCAUCUUGACUUUAGUACAUACAUAAAUGAAGAAUGUGUAUUUCGUUUGUUAACUGUAGGUCAAAUACUUGGUCUGACAGUUGCAAGUGACUCAAUCUUAGCAAAGAUAAAAACUGCUUUAUGUUUCUUUGUGUGGUGUUUAGUCAAAUACAUCAACUGUCAACAGUGUUGAUGUUGUAAAACAAAGGACACAAAAAUACAAGUAUUUUAACCAGAUUUUACUCCUGGUUUACUGUUGGACAAGUCUGUAGUUGUUAGGGACAUUUGGCAUGGCUUGUUGGCACAGAACUCAGUUAUUGUGUAAGGGGAACAGACCCAACCCAACAUCAUUCACAGUCAAAAAACACGUUUAAAUUAUUUCUGGCAGUACCUGGACAGGUAGAGUGAACUGAUUACCAACAUCAGCUAAAAUGCAUGUCACCAAGAGCUAAUGAAAAAGAAAAGGUCUGAUAGAGACAACAGUGUCAGAAGAAUACUGGUGUAGCACAAAUAUCACAACAAAGAAUAAACAGGCAGAGAAAAGGAACACUGGGCCACAGGAACUGAGGGAAGAUUGAUUGGUUGGUUUGGCAGUAGAAUCGCAAGUGCCUUCAAAAUGUUGUUCGCUGUUCAUAUCCUGCAAGAUUUUGAUGUGUUCAGUUUUAGUUGGUCUGACAGUCUAUUGACUGGUAUCCCUCUAGAGACACAGUUGUUAAAUGAGUAAUCGCCAGUCUUAGUUGUCGAAAAAAAAAAAAAAAAAAAAGUCAGUGAGAGCGUCCUCUUACAAAAACCUUGAAGUUGUAGCGUGUCCUGAGCUGACCUUUUUGGUUGCUUCCUGUAUAUUAUUGCCAUUAGCGUUCCGUCGCAUUCUUUACACCUUAAAAGAAUACCAUCUUUUUGUAAAGACUCCGCUCCUACUAAAUUACAUGCUGUGUAUGUAAGACUACACUCCCUCUGUUUAUAAAAUCUGAUAAUGUAGCUCUCCCUCCCUACCCUGCAGGGGAUGCUAUAAACACAAUUUGAAUUACUUUGUCCAAAAGUUGUGUGAUGCAGCACUUUAUUUAUUUUUAAUAUGAAUUUAAUUACAUUAUUCAGUCAAAGGUAUUUUCACACGAAGAACUGACAAAAAUUAAGUUCACAGGUGUCAGGUUGUGACAUACUAGAGCUAGCUGUUAAUUAAAGCAGAACAUGCCAUUGUAAGCCUGACCUGCCUGGGUGUGGUGAGUACCUGGAAGUACUCACUACUGAGAGUAUCUGCAGCUGUGCUGUUUAAAGUAGCUUUGUGCAAUUAAAAAUUCAUUUUCAAUGUCAUUGUAAAUGACAGUGUUCUGAAGAGGAGGGGCGCAAAUAAAAUAGAAUCAUGUUAGACAGAGGCAAUAAUAAUUGCCUCUGUAAUAAUAAUACAAUUACAGCUAUUAUGGUCAACAUAUAAAGUUUUCUUUUUAAAAGCUCUAAUACCCAUCAUCGGGUCCAUUUGUAGCUAACUUUAGCUCUUGUGUCUGUACCAGGACUGUGGUAGCUAACAUUAACUCACAACUAAAGAAAUCACCCAAAAAGCAACACGAUCUUGACUUCAAACACUAUGAUUCCAAACUGAAGUUAGUUUGCUUAAAGUUGGUGCUAUCAAACAACUAACAUAUUUCUAUUUUGUCUUACAGUUUGAUGGACAUAUUUCAACAAUCACCUGCAAAAACAACUGUCCUCAAGGAUGAGGUAGUAGAUUGAAUAGUUGUGGGGUUCACGUCCUCCCUCUGAGAUAACUAUGCAAUCUACUGUCUUUCCUAAGGAGACAGGAUGGUCUGCCAAGCUGUACGCACCUCUGGGGAUGGUGACCUACUGUAUCGUUCUGACAGCAUGUUCUAAAGUGUUCUUUUUUUGUGAGAUUCUGUUUCUUGAAGUUGAGCCUAGCAAGGUGAGGUAGUAGGUUGUAUAGUUUGUGGGAUGGAGUCAGUCCUACUCAGGCGAUAACUAUACAGUCUAUUACCUUCCUUGAGAGGUACAAUGAGUGCUUGGAAUAAAGUCUUCCUUCCCCUAAUCAUUUAGAGCUACUGCGAUGCCAUCUUGUGGUCAAAAUGAGCAUCACUGGAAAAAGUAUUACAGUAUUUGGUUGUUCAAAAAUGUAGUAAACACAAAAGGUCCCUAUACUAUGUGACUGUUAUCAAAGUCUUAAAAACAUAGUAAACUCCAGUACACACAUGUACAAACUAAAACUAUUUCUUACUUUUAUUGAAUGCCUCUCAUAAAGUCAAUACUGUAUAAAAGUAAAAAUUCAGUUUUAUGAUUAGCCAUGAGAUCUUUGUUAUUGAGAAACUAACAUAAAAUCUGUUUCAUAAAUCACA